AGGCUUAGAGGGGCUGGCUCUCUGUACCCGCCUCGCGGGGGGUGCCUCCCCCCCCCGUGAUGGGGGUCCUAAGAGCCAGAAGGCUUAGAGGGGCUGGCUCUCAGUCUCCGCCUCGUGGGGGGUGCCUCCCCCCCUGCGAUGGGGGUCCUAAGGGCCAGUGGGGGAAGAGGGGCUGGCUCUGAGACCCCGCCUCACUGGAGGUGCCUCCUCCCCCUGCGAUGUGGGUCCUAAGAGCCAGGGGGGGGAUGAGGGGCUGGCUCUCAGUGCCCGCCUCUCGGGGAGUGCCUCCCCUUCCUGCGAUGGGGGUCCUAAGAGCCAGGAGGGGAAGAGGGGCUGGCUUUCAGUCACCACAGCUUGGGGGGCCUUUAUGUUCUGGUUUUUCCCAAGAGUCAGCUGAUUUGCUUCUUGUACUAGCAGGGCAGUUGCUGCCAAGGCCCUCAAACAGGGGGGCCAUCCUUUAGAAACCCUGUCUAGCUGUUUAGAGAGGUAGGCCACCGGCCUCAGCCAUGGCCCCACAGUUUGGGUUUAAAGUCCAGCUGCCAUCUUUUCUCUGACGCAUACAGUGGAAAAGGCUUUGUGAGAUCCGCUAGCCCCUGGGCUGGGGCUUUCAGAAGUUUUUCCUUUAAGUCAUGAAAGACUUGCUGUUGUUGGAAUCCCCAUUCCAAAAGUUCCCGGUCCCCGCCCCCUUUGUGACGUCAUACAAAGGCGUGGCUAAUACUGCAAAGUUGGGCUCCGCAGUCUACAAAACCCCACAGCUCCUAGGAAUUCUCUCACCAGCCUUCUGCCCUUAGGCUCCGGAAGAUUGCAAAUGACCUGCUUUCUUUCGGAUCCCGGGCUGCUUUCGGACACCUGUCGAAUAGUAAAUCCCAAGUAAGCUACCUGCGGUCGUCGGCAGAUCUGAGUUUUCUUCUUGGACACCUAAUACCCACAGCCCUCCAGAGACCGAGAGGUUGAUGUCACUCCCAAUAUCGGAGGAAGUAUACAGCCCCGUGUGAGAUGUUCCUUAAUGAUAUUCCACGGCGGAGGGGGUGAUAUGACUACAUACAUGGCAGAAAGUGGAAACCCCCCAGGGAUAUUAUUCCCACGAUCCUGGAGGGAAGAAGAUGAUGUUACUUUCAAUAUGACAGAAGGUGGAUGAAGUGGUGGACUGCCCCUCCACACCUGUGGACACGCCCCCACUGAUACUCCUUCUAAUUGCAACGUGGGAGAGGAGGAUAUGACACGCGAUAUCGCAGGGAGCAGAAACACCCCUGUGAUACUGUUCUUCAUAUUCAGGGAGGAAGAGGAUGAUAUGACUCCCAAUACAGACGGGUGUACACCCUCUGUACACCGAGGGUGUACACCCGUCUGUGAAAGAGUUCGUAAUCUCCAGAGGGGGAGAUGAUAUUACUCACAAUAUGGUAAAGAGGCUGUGAGUCCACGGAGGAUCCUCAGAGCCAGCGGGGGAAGAGGGGCUGGCUCUGAGACCCCGCCUCGCUGGGGGUGCCUCCCCUCACUGCGAUGGGGGUCCUAAGAGCCAGUGGGGGAAGAGGGGCUGGCUCUGAGACCCCGCCUCGCUGGGGGUGCCUCCCCCCCCUGCGAUGGGGGUCCUAAGGGCCAGUGGGGGAAGAGGGGCUGCCUCUGAGACCCCGCCUCACGGGGGGUGCCUCCCCCCCCUGCGAUGGGGGUCCUAAGGGCCAGUGGGGGAAGGGGGGCUGGCUCUGAGAACCUGCCUCACGGGGGGUGCCUCCCCCCCGUGAUGGGGUUCCUAAGGGCCAGUGGGGGAAGAGGGGCUGGCUCACUGUACCCGCCUUGCGGGGGGUGCCUCCCCCCCUGUGAUGGGGGUCCUAAGAGCCAGGAGCAGAAGAGGGGCUGGCUCUCUAUACCCGCCUCGCGGGGGGUGCCUCCCCCCCCCGUGAUGGGGUUCCUAAGAGCCAGAAGGCUUAGAGGGGCUGGCUCUCUGUACCCGCCUCGCGGGGGGUGCCUCCCUCCCCCCGUGAUGGGGGUCCUAAGAGCCAGAAGGCUUAGAGGGGCUGGCUCUCUGUACCCGCCUCGCGGGGGGUGCCUCCCUCCCCCCGUGAUGGGGGUCCUAAGAGCCAGAAGGCUUAGAGGGGCUGGCUCUCUGUACCCGCCUCGCGGGGGGUGCCUCCCCCCCCCGUGAUGGGGGUCCUAAGAGCCAGAAGGCUUAGAGGGGCUGGCUCUCAGUCUCCGCCUCGUGGGGGGUGCCUCCCCCCCUGCGAUGGGGGUCCUAAGGGCCAGUGGGGGAAGAGGGGCUGGCUCUGAGACCCCGCCUCACUGGAGGUGCCUCCUCCCCCUGCGAUGUGGGUCCUAAGAGCCAGGGGGGGGAUGAGGGGCUGGCUCUCAGUGCCCGCCUCUCGGGGAGUGCCUCCCCUUCCUGCGAUGGGGGUCCUAAGAGCCAGGAGGGGAAGAGGGGCUGGCUUUCAGUCACCACAGCUUGGGGGGCCUUUAUGUUCUGGUUUUUCCCAAGAGUCAGCUGAUUUGCUUCUUGUACUAGCAGGGCAGUUGCUGCCAAGGCCCUCAAACAGGGGGGCCAUCCUUUAGAAACCCUGUCUAGCUGUUUAGAGAGGUAGGCCACCGGCCUCAGCCAUGGCCCCACAGUUUGGGUUUAAAGUCCAGCUGCCAUCUUUUCUCUGACGCAUACAGUGGAAAAGGCUUUGUGAGAUCCGCUAGCCCCUGGGCUGGGGCUUUCAGAAGUUUUUCCUUUAAGUCAUGAAAGACUUGCUGUUGUUGGAAUCCCCAUUCCAAAAGUUCCCGGUCCCCGCCCCCUUUGUGACGUCAUACAAAGGCGUGGCUAAUACUGCAAAGUUGGGCUCCGCAGUCUACAAAACCCCACAGCUCCUAGGAAUUCUCUCACCAGCCUUCUGCCCUUAGGCUCCGGAAGAUUGCAAAUGACCUGCUUUCUUUCGGAUCCCGGGCUGCUUUCGGACACCUGUCGAAUAGUAAAUCCCAAGUAAGCUACCUGCGGUCGUCGGCAGAUCUGAGUUUUCUUCUUGGACACCUAAUACCCACAGCCCUCCAGAGACCGAGAGGUUGAUGUCACUCCCAAUAUCGGAGGAAGUAUACAGCCCCGUGUGAGAUGUUCCUUAAUGAUAUUCCACGGCGGAGGGGGUGAUAUGACUACAUACAUGGCAGAAAGUGGAAACCCCCCAGGGAUAUUAUUCCCACGAUCCUGGAGGGAAGAAGAUGAUGUUACUUUCAAUAUGACAGAAGGUGGAUGAAGUGGUGGACUGCCCCUCCACACCUGUGGACACGCCCCCACUGAUACUCCUUCUAAUUGCAACGUGGGAGAGGAGGAUAUGACACGCGAUAUCGCAGGGAGCAGAAACACCCCUGUGAUACUGUUCUUCAUAUUCAGGGAGGAAGAGGAUGAUAUGACUCCCAAUACAGACGGGUGUACACCCUCUGUACACCGAGGGUGUACACCCGUCUGUGAAAGAGUUCGUAAUCUCCAGAGGGGGAGAUGAUAUUACUCACAAUAUGGUAAAGAGGCUGUGAGUCCACGGAGGAUCCUCAGAGCCAGCGGGGGAAGAGGGGCUGGCUCUGAGACCCCGCCUCGCUGGGGGUGCCUCCCCUCACUGCGAUGGGGGUCCUAAGAGCCAGUGGGGGAAGAGGGGCUGGCUCUGAGACCCCGCCUCGCUGGGGGUGCCUCCCCCCCCUGCGAUGGGGGUCCUAAGGGCCAGUGGGGGAAGAGGGGCUGCCUCUGAGACCCCGCCUCGCGGGGGGUGCCUCCCCCCCCUGCGAUGGGGGUCCUAAGGGCCAGUGGGGGAAGGGGGGCUGGCUCUGAGAACCUGCCUCACGGGGGGUGCCUCCCCCCCCGUGAUGGGGUUCCUAAGGGCCAGUGGGGGAAGAGGGGCUGGCUCACUGUACCCGCCUUGCGGGGGGUGCCUCCCCCCCUGUGAUGGGGGUCCUAAGAGCCAGGAGCAGAAGAGGGGCUGGCUCUCUAUACCCGCCUCGCGGGGGGUGCCUCCCCCCCCCGUGAUGGGGUUCCUAAGAGCCAGAAGGCUUAGAGGGGCUGGCUCUCUGUACCCGCCUCGCGGGGGGUGCCUCCCUCCCCCCGUGAUGGGGGUCCUAAGAGCCAGAAGGCUUAGAGGGGCUGGCUCUCUGUACCCGCCUCGCGGGGGGUGCCUCCCUCCCCCCGUGAUGGGGGUCCUAAGAGCCAGAAGGCUUAGAGGGGCUGGCUCUCUGUACCCGCCUCGCGGGGGGUGCCUCCCCCCCCCGUGAUGGGGGUCCUAAGAGCCAGAAGGCUUAGAGGGGCUGGCUCUCAGUCUCCGCCUCGUGGGGGGUGCCUCCCCCCCUGCGAUGGGGGUCCUAAGGGCCAGUGGGGGAAGAGGGGCUGGCUCUGAGACCCCGCCUCACUGGAGGUGCCUCCUCCCCCUGCGAUGUGGGUCCUAAGAGCCAGGGGGGGGGAUGAGGGGCUGGCUCUCAGUGCCCGCCUCUCGGGGAGUGCCUCCCCUUCCUGCGAUGGGGGUCCUAAGAGCCAGGAGGGGAAGAGGGGCUGGCUUUCAGUCACCACAGCUUGGGGGGCCUUUAUGUUCUGGUUUUUCCCAAGAGUCAGCUGAUUUGCUUCUUGUACUAGCAGGGCAGUUGCUGCCAAGGCCCUCAAACAGGGGGGCCAUCCUUUAGAAACCCUGUCUAGCUGUUUAGAGAGGUAGGCCACCGGCCUCAGCCAUGGCCCCACAGUUUGGGUUUAAAGUCCAGCUGCCAUCUUUUCUCUGACGCAUACAGUGGAAAAGGCUUUGUGAGAUCCGCUAGCCCCUGGGCUGGGGCUUUCAGAAGUUUUUCCUUUAAGUCAUGAAAGACUUGCUGUUGUUGGAAUCCCCAUUCCAAAAGUUCCCGGUCCCCGCCCCCUUUGUGACGUCAUACAAAGGCGUGGCUAAUACUGCAAAGUUGGGCUCCGCAGUCUACAAAACCCCACAGCUCCUAGGAAUUCUCUCACCAGCCUUCUGCCCUUAGGCUCCGGAAGAUUGCAAAUGACCUGCUUUCUUUCGGAUCCCGGGCUGCUUUCGGACACCUGUCGAAUAGUAAAUCCCAAGUAAGCUACCUGCGGUCGUCGGCAGAUCUGAGUUUUCUUCUUGGACACCUAAUACCCACAGCCCUCCAGAGACCGAGAGGUUGAUGUCACUCCCAAUAUCGGAGGAAGUAUACAGCCCCGUGUGAGAUGUUCCUUAAUGAUAUUCCACGGCGGAGGGGGUGAUAUGACUACAUACAUGGCAGAAAGUGGAAACCCCCCAGGGAUAUUAUUCCCACGAUCCUGGAGGGAAGAAGAUGAUGUUACUUUCAAUAUGACAGAAGGUGGAUGAAGUGGUGGACUGCCCCUCCACACCUGUGGACACGCCCCCACUGAUACUCCUUCUAAUUGCAACGUGGGAGAGGAGGAUAUGACACGCGAUAUCGCAGGGAGCAGAAACACCCCUGUGAUACUGUUCUUCAUAUUCAGGGAGGAAGAGGAUGAUAUGACUCCCAAUACAGACGGGUGUACACCCUCUGUACACCGAGGGUGUACACCCGUCUGUGAAAGAGUUCGUAAUCUCCAGAGGGGGAGAUGAUAUUACUCACAAUAUGGUAAAGAGGCUGUGAGUCCACGGAGGAUCCUCAGAGCCAGCGGGGGAAGAGGGGCUGGCUCUGAGACCCCGCCUCGCUGGGGGUGCCUCCCCUCACUGCGAUGGGGGUCCUAAGAGCCAGUGGGGGAAGAGGGGCUGGCUCUGAGACCCCGCCUCGCUGGGGGUGCCUCCCCCCCCUGCGAUGGGGGUCCUAAGGGCCAGUGGGGGAAGAGGGGCUGCCUCUGAGACCCCGCCUCACGGGGGGUGCCUCCCCCCCCUGCGAUGGGGGUCCUAAGGGCCAGUGGGGGAAGGGGGGCUGGCUCUGAGAACCUGCCUCACGGGGGGUGCCUCCCCCCCCGUGAUGGGGUUCCUAAGGGCCAGUGGGGGAAGAGGGGCUGGCUCACUGUACCCGCCUUGCGGGGGGUGCCUCCCCCCCUGUGAUGGGGGUCCUAAGAGCCAGGAGCAGAAGAGGGGCUGGCUCUCUAUACCCGCCUCGCGGGGGGUGCCUCCCCCCCCCGUGAUGGGGUUCCUAAGAGCCAGAAGGCUUAGAGGGGCUGGCUCUCUGUACCCGCCUCGCGGGGGGUGCCUCCCUCCCCCCGUGAUGGGGGUCCUAAGAGCCAGAAGGCUUAGAGGGGCUGGCUCUCUGUACCCGCCUCGCGGGGGGUGCCUCCCUCCCCCCGUGAUGGGGGUCCUAAGAGCCAGAAGGCUUAGAGGGGCUGGCUCUCUGUACCCGCCUCGCGGGGGGUGCCUCCCCCCCCCGUGAUGGGGGUCCUAAGAGCCAGAAGGCUUAGAGGGGCUGGCUCUCAGUCUCCGCCUCGUGGGGGGUGCCUCCCCCCCUGCGAUGGGGGUCCUAAGGGCCAGUGGGGGAAGAGGGGCUGGCUCUGAGACCCCGCCUCACUGGAGGUGCCUCCUCCCCCUGCGAUGUGGGUCCUAAGAGCCAGGGGGGGGAUGAGGGGCUGGCUCUCAGUGCCCGCCUCUCGGGGAGUGCCUCCCCUUCCUGCGAUGGGGGUCCUAAGAGCCAGGAGGGGAAGAGGGGCUGGCUUUCAGUCACCACAGCUUGGGGGGCCUUUAUGUUCUGGUUUUUCCCAAGAGUCAGCUGAUUUGCUUCUUGUACUAGCAGGGCAGUUGCUGCCAAGGCCCUCAAACAGGGGGGCCAUCCUUUAGAAACCCUGUCUAGCUGUUUAGAGAGGUAGGCCACCGGCCUCAGCCAUGGCCCCACAGUUUGGGUUUAAAGUCCAGCUGCCAUCUUUUCUCUGACGCAUACAGUGGAAAAGGCUUUGUGAGAUCCGCUAGCCCCUGGGCUGGGGCUUUCAGAAGUUUUUCCUUUAAGUCAUGAAAGACUUGCUGUUGUUGGAAUCCCCAUUCCAAAAGUUCCCGGUCCCCGCCCCCUUUGUGACGUCAUACAAAGGCGUGGCUAAUACUGCAAAGUUGGGCUCCGCAGUCUACAAAACCCCACAGCUCCUAGGAAUUCUCUCACCAGCCUUCUGCCCUUAGGCUCCGGAAGAUUGCAAAUGACCUGCUUUCUUUCGGAUCCCGGGCUGCUUUCGGACACCUGUCGAAUAGUAAAUCCCAAGUAAGCUACCUGCGGUCGUCGGCAGAUCUGAGUUUUCUUCUUGGACACCUAAUACCCACAGCCCUCCAGAGACCGAGAGGUUGAUGUCACUCCCAAUAUCGGAGGAAGUAUACAGCCCCGUGUGAGAUGUUCCUUAAUGAUAUUCCACGGCGGAGGGGGUGAUAUGACUACAUACAUGGCAGAAAGUGGAAACCCCCCAGGGAUAUUAUUCCCACGAUCCUGGAGGGAAGAAGAUGAUGUUACUUUCAAUAUGACAGAAGGUGGAUGAAGUGGUGGACUGCCCCUCCACACCUGUGGACACGCCCCCACUGAUACUCCUUCUAAUUGCAACGUGGGAGAGGAGGAUAUGACACGCGAUAUCGCAGGGAGCAGAAACACCCCUGUGAUACUGUUCUUCAUAUUCAGGGAGGAAGAGGAUGAUAUGACUCCCAAUACAGACGGGUGUACACCCUCUGUACACCGAGGGUGUACACCCGUCUGUGAAAGAGUUCGUAAUCUCCAGAGGGGGAGAUGAUAUUACUCACAAUAUGGUAAAGAGGCUGUGAGUCCACGGAGGAUCCUCAGAGCCAGCGGGGGAAGAGGGGCUGGCUCUGAGACCCCGCCUCGCUGGGGGUGCCUCCCCUCACUGCGAUGGGGGUCCUAAGAGCCAGUGGGGGAAGAGGGGCUGGCUCUGAGACCCCGCCUCGCUGGGGGUGCCUCCCCCCCCUGCGAUGGGGGUCCUAAGGGCCAGUGGGGGAAGAGGGGCUGCCUCUGAGACCCCGCCUCACGGGGGGUGCCUCCCCCCCCUGCGAUGGGGGUCCUAAGGGCCAGUGGGGGAAGGGGGGCUGGCUCUGAGAACCUGCCUCACGGGGGGUGCCUCCCCCCCCGUGAUGGGGUUCCUAAGGGCCAGUGGGGGAAGAGGGGCUGGCUCACUGUACCCGCCUUGCGGGGGGUGCCUCCCCCCCUGUGAUGGGGGUCCUAAGAGCCAGGAGCAGAAGAGGGGCUGGCUCUCUAUACCCGCCUCGCGGGGGGUGCCUCCCCCCCCCGUGAUGGGGUUCCUAAGAGCCAGAAGGCUUAGAGGGGCUGGCUCUCUGUACCCGCCUCGCGGGGGGUGCCUCCCUCCCCCCGUGAUGGGGGUCCUAAGAGCCAGAAGGCUUAGAGGGGCUGGCUCUCUGUACCCGCCUCGCGGGGGGUGCCUCCCUCCCCCCGUGAUGGGGGUCCUAAGAGCCAGAAGGCUUAGAGGGGCUGGCUCUCUGUACCCGCCUCGCGGGGGGUGCCUCCCCCCCCCGUGAUGGGGGUCCUAAGAGCCAGAAGGCUUAGAGGGGCUGGCUCUCAGUCUCCGCCUCGUGGGGGGUGCCUCCCCCCCUGCGAUGGGGGUCCUAAGGGCCAGUGGGGGAAGAGGGGCUGGCUCUGAGACCCCGCCUCACUGGAGGUGCCUCCUCCCCCUGCGAUGUGGGUCCUAAGAGCCAGGGGGGGGAUGAGGGGCUGGCUCUCAGUGCCCGCCUCUCGGGGAGUGCCUCCCCUUCCUGCGAUGGGGGUCCUAAGAGCCAGGAGGGGAAGAGGGGCUGGCUUUCAGUCACCACAGCUUGGGGGGCCUUUAUGUUCUGGUUUUUCCCAAGAGUCAGCUGAUUUGCUUCUUGUACUAGCAGGGCAGUUGCUGCCAAGGCCCUCAAACAGGGGGGCCAUCCUUUAGAAACCCUGUCUAGCUGUUUAGAGAGGUAGGCCACCGGCCUCAGCCAUGGCCCCACAGUUUGGGUUUAAAGUCCAGCUGCCAUCUUUUCUCUGACGCAUACAGUGGAAAAGGCUUUGUGAGAUCCGCUAGCCCCUGGGCUGGGGCUUUCAGAAGUUUUUCCUUUAAGUCAUGAAAGACUUGCUGUUGUUGGAAUCCCCAUUCCAAAAGUUCCCGGUCCCCGCCCCCUUUGUGACGUCAUACAAAGGCGUGGCUAAUACUGCAAAGUUGGGCUCCGCAGUCUACAAAACCCCACAGCUCCUAGGAAUUCUCUCACCAGCCUUCUGCCCUUAGGCUCCGGAAGAUUGCAAAUGACCUGCUUUCUUUCGGAUCCCGGGCUGCUUUCGGACACCUGUCGAAUAGUAAAUCCCAAGUAAGCUACCUGCGGUCGUCGGCAGAUCUGAGUUUUCUUCUUGGACACCUAAUACCCACAGCCCUCCAGAGACCGAGAGGUUGAUGUCACUCCCAAUAUCGGAGGAAGUAUACAGCCCCGUGUGAGAUGUUCCUUAAUGAUAUUCCACGGCGGAGGGGGUGAUAUGACUACAUACAUGGCAGAAAGUGGAAACCCCCCAGGGAUAUUAUUCCCACGAUCCUGGAGGGAAGAAGAUGAUGUUACUUUCAAUAUGACAGAAGGUGGAUGAAGUGGUGGACUGCCCCUCCACACCUGUGGACACGCCCCCACUGAUACUCCUUCUAAUUGCAACGUGGGAGAGGAGGAUAUGACACGCGAUAUCGCAGGGAGCAGAAACACCCCUGUGAUACUGUUCUUCAUAUUCAGGGAGGAAGAGGAUGAUAUGACUCCCAAUACAGACGGGUGUACACCCUCUGUACACCGAGGGUGUACACCCGUCUGUGAAAGAGUUCGUAAUCUCCAGAGGGGGAGAUGAUAUUACUCACAAUAUGGUAAAGAGGCUGUGAGUCCACGGAGGAUCCUCAGAGCCAGCGGGGGAAGAGGGGCUGGCUCUGAGACCCCGCCUCGCUGGGGGUGCCUCCCCUCACUGCGAUGGGGGUCCUAAGAGCCAGUGGGGGAAGAGGGGCUGGCUCUGAGACCCCGCCUCGCUGGGGGUGCCUCCCCCCCCUGCGAUGGGGGUCCUAAGGGCCAGUGGGGGAAGAGGGGCUGCCUCUGAGACCCCGCCUCACGGGGGGUGCCUCCCCCCCCUGCGAUGGGGGUCCUAAGGGCCAGUGGGGGAAGGGGGGCUGGCUCUGAGAACCUGCCUCACGGGGGGUGCCUCCCCCCCCGUGAUGGGGUUCCUAAGGGCCAGUGGGGGAAGAGGGGCUGGCUCACUGUACCCGCCUUGCGGGGGGUGCCUCCCCCCCUGUGAUGGGGGUCCUAAGAGCCAGGAGCAGAAGAGGGGCUGGCUCUCUAUACCCGCCUCGCGGGGGGUGCCUCCCCCCCCCGUGAUGGGGUUCCUAAGAGCCAGAAGGCUUAGAGGGGCUGGCUCUCUGUACCCGCCUCGCGGGGGGUGCCUCCCUCCCCCCGUGAUGGGGGUCCUAAGAGCCAGAAGGCUUAGAGGGGCUGGCUCUCUGUACCCGCCUCGCGGGGGGUGCCUCCCUCCCCCCGUGAUGGGGGUCCUAAGAGCCAGAAGGCUUAGAGGGGCUGGCUCUCUGUACCCGCCUCGCGGGGGGUGCCUCCCCCCCCCCGUGAUGGGGGUCCUAAGAGCCAGAAGGCUUAGAGGGGCUGGCUCUCAGUCUCCGCCUCGUGGGGGGUGCCUCCCCCCCUGCGAUGGGGGUCCUAAGGGCCAGUGGGGGAAGAGGGGCUGGCUCUGAGACCCCGCCUCACUGGAGGUGCCUCCUCCCCCUGCGAUGUGGGUCCUAAGAGCCAGGGGGGGGAUGAGGGGCUGGCUCUCAGUGCCCGCCUCUCGGGGAGUGCCUCCCCUUCCUGCGAUGGGGGUCCUAAGAGCCAGGAGGGGAAGAGGGGCUGGCUUUCAGUCACCACAGCUUGGGGGGCCUUUAUGUUCUGGUUUUUCCCAAGAGUCAGCUGAUUUGCUUCUUGUACUAGCAGGGCAGUUGCUGCCAAGGCCCUCAAACAGGGGGGCCAUCCUUUAGAAACCCUGUCUAGCUGUUUAGAGAGGUAGGCCACCGGCCUCAGCCAUGGCCCCACAGUUUGGGUUUAAAGUCCAGCUGCCAUCUUUUCUCUGACGCAUACAGUGGAAAAGGCUUUGUGAGAUCCGCUAGCCCCUGGGCUGGGGCUUUCAGAAGUUUUUCCUUUAAGUCAUGAAAGACUUGCUGUUGUUGGAAUCCCCAUUCCAAAAGUUCCCGGUCCCCGCCCCCUUUGUGACGUCAUACAAAGGCGUGGCUAAUACUGCAAAGUUGGGCUCCGCAGUCUACAAAACCCCACAGCUCCUAGGAAUUCUCUCACCAGCCUUCUGCCCUUAGGCUCCGGAAGAUUGCAAAUGACCUGCUUUCUUUCGGAUCCCGGGCUGCUUUCGGACACCUGUCGAAUAGUAAAUCCCAAGUAAGCUACCUGCGGUCGUCGGCAGAUCUGAGUUUUCUUCUUGGACACCUAAUACCCACAGCCCUCCAGAGACCGAGAGGUUGAUGUCACUCCCAAUAUCGGAGGAAGUAUACAGCCCCGUGUGAGAUGUUCCUUAAUGAUAUUCCACGGCGGAGGGGGUGAUAUGACUACAUACAUGGCAGAAAGUGGAAACCCCCCAGGGAUAUUAUUCCCACGAUCCUGGAGGGAAGAAGAUGAUGUUACUUUCAAUAUGACAGAAGGUGGAUGAAGUGGUGGACUGCCCCUCCACACCUGUGGACACGCCCCCACUGAUACUCCUUCUAAUUGCAACGUGGGAGAGGAGGAUAUGACACGCGAUAUCGCAGGGAGCAGAAACACCCCUGUGAUACUGUUCUUCAUAUUCAGGGAGGAAGAGGAUGAUAUGACUCCCAAUACAGACGGGUGUACACCCUCUGUACACCGAGGGUGUACACCCGUCUGUGAAAGAGUUCGUAAUCUCCAGAGGGGGAGAUGAUAUUACUCACAAUAUGGUAAAGAGGCUGUGAGUCCACGGAGGAUCCUCAGAGCCAGCGGGGGAAGAGGGGCUGGCUCUGAGACCCCGCCUCGCUGGGGGUGCCUCCCCUCACUGCGAUGGGGGUCCUAAGAGCCAGUGGGGGAAGAGGGGCUGGCUCUGAGACCCCGCCUCGCUGGGGGUGCCUCCCCCCCCUGCGAUGGGGGUCCUAAGGGCCAGUGGGGGAAGAGGGGCUGCCUCUGAGACCCCGCCUCACGGGGGGUGCCUCCCCCCCCUGCGAUGGGGGUCCUAAGGGCCAGUGGGGGAAGGGGGGCUGGCUCUGAGAACCUGCCUCACGGGGGGUGCCUCCCCCCCCGUGAUGGGGUUCCUAAGGGCCAGUGGGGGAAGAGGGGCUGGCUCACUGUACCCGCCUUGCGGGGGGUGCCUCCCCCCCUGUGAUGGGGGUCCUAAGAGCCAGGAGCAGAAGAGGGGCUGGCUCUCUAUACCCGCCUCGCGGGGGGUGCCUCCCCCCCCCGUGAUGGGGUUCCUAAGAGCCAGAAGGCUUAGAGGGGCUGGCUCUCUGUACCCGCCUCGCGGGGGGUGCCUCCCUCCCCCCGUGAUGGGGGUCCUAAGAGCCAGAAGGCUUAGAGGGGCUGGCUCUCUGUACCCGCCUCGCGGGGGGUGCCUCCCUCCCCCCGUGAUGGGGGUCCUAAGAGCCAGAAGGCUUAGAGGGGCUGGCUCUCUGUACCCGCCUCGCGGGGGGUGCCUCCCCCCCCCGUGAUGGGGGUCCUAAGAGCCAGAAGGCUUAGAGGGGCUGGCUCUCAGUCUCCGCCUCGUGGGGGGUGCCUCCCCCCCUGCGAUGGGGGUCCUAAGGGCCAGUGGGGGAAGAGGGGCUGGCUCUGAGACCCCGCCUCACUGGAGGUGCCUCCUCCCCCUGCGAUGUGGGUCCUAAGAGCCGGGGGGGGAUGAGGGGCUGGCUCUCAGUGCCCGCCUCUCGGGGAGUGCCUCCCCUUCCUGCGAUGGGGGUCCUAAGAGCCAGGAGGGGAAGAGGGGCUGGCUUUCAGUCACCACAGCUUGGGGGGCCUUUAUGUUCUGGUUUUUCCCAAGAGUCAGCUGAUUUGCUUCUUGUACUAGCAGGGCAGUUGCUGCCAAGGCCCUCAAACAGGGGGGCCAUCCUUUAGAAACCCUGUCUAGCUGUUUAGAGAGGUAGGCCACCGGCCUCAGCCAUGGCCCCACAGUUUGGGUUUAAAGUCCAGCUGCCAUCUUUUCUCUGACGCAUACAGUGGAAAAGGCUUUGUGAGAUCCGCUAGCCCCUGGGCUGGGGCUUUCAGAAGUUUUUCCUUUAAGUCAUGAAAGACUUGCUGUUGUUGGAAUCCCCAUUCCAAAUGUUCCCGGUCCCCGCCCCCUUUGUGACGUCAUACAAAGGCGUGGCUAAUACUGCAAAGUUGGGCUCCGCAGUCUACAAAACCCCACAGCUCCUAGGAAUUCUCUCACCAGCCUUCUGCCCUUAGGCUCCGGAAGAUUGCAAAUGACCUGCUUUCUUUCGGAUCCCGGGCUGCUUUCGGACACCUGUCGAAUAGUAAAUCCCAAGUAAGCUACCUGCGGUCGUCGGCAGAUCUGAGUUUUCUUCUUGGACACCUAAUACCCACAGCCCUCCAGAGACCGAGAGGUUGAUGUCACUCCCAAUAUCGGAGGAAGUAUACAGCCCCGUGUGAGAUGUUCCUUAAUGAUAUUCCACGGCGGAGGGGGUGAUAUGACUACAUACAUGGCAGAAAGUGGAAACCCCCCAGGGAUAUUAUUCCCACGAUCCUGGAGGGAAGAAGAUGAUGUUACUUUCAAUAUGACAGAAGGUGGAUGAAGUGGUGGACUGCCCCUCCACACCUGUGGACACGCCCCCACUGAUACUCCUUCUAAUUGCAACGUGGGAGAGGAGGAUAUGACACGCGAUAUCGCAGGGAGCAGAAACACCCCUGUGAUACUGUUCUUCAUAUUCAGGGAGGAAGAGGAUGAUAUGACUCCCAAUACAGACGGGUGUACACCCUCUGUACACCGAGGGUGUACACCCGUCUGUGAAAGAGUUCGUAAUCUCCAGAGGGGGAGAUGAUAUUACUCACAAUAUGGUAAAGAGGCUGUGAGUCCACGGAGGAUCCUCAGAGCCAGCGGGGGAAGAGGGGCUGGCUCUGAGACCCCGCCUCGCUGGGGGUGCCUCCCCUCACUGCGAUGGGGGUCCUAAGAGCCAGUGGGGGAAGAGGGGCUGGCUCUGAGACCCCGCCUCGCUGGGGGUGCCUCCCCCCCCUGCGAUGGGGGUCCUAAGGGCCAGUGGGGGAAGAGGGGCUGCCUCUGAGACCCCGCCUCACGGGGGGUGCCUCCCCCCCCUGCGAUGGGGGUCCUAAGGGCCAGUGGGGGAAGGGGGGCUGGCUCUGAGAACCUGCCUCACGGGGGGUGCCUCCCCCCCCGUGAUGGGGUUCCUAAGGGCCAGUGGGGGAAGAGGGGCUGGCUCACUGUACCCGCCUUGCGGGGGGUGCCUCCCCCCCUGUGAUGGGGGUCCUAAGAGCCAGGAGCAGAAGAGGGGCUGGCUCUCUAUACCCGCCUCGCGGGGGGUGCCUCCCCCCCCCGUGAUGGGGUUCCUAAGAGCCAGAAGGCUUAGAGGGGCUGGCUCUCUGUACCCGCCUCGCGGGGGGUGCCUCCCUCCCCCCGUGAUGGGGGUCCUAAGAGCCAGAAGGCUUAGAGGGGCUGGCUCUCUGUACCCGCCUCGCGGGGGGUGCCUCCCUCCCCCCGUGAUGGGGGUCCUAAGAGCCAGAAGGCUUAGAGGGGCUGGCUCUCUGUACCCGCCUCGCGGGGGGUGCCUCCCCCCCCCGUGAUGGGGGUCCUAAGAGCCAGAAGGCUUAGAGGGGCUGGCUCUCAGUCUCCGCCUCGUGGGGGGUGCCUCCCCCCCUGCGAUGGGGGUCCUAAGGGCCAGUGGGGGAAGAGGGGCUGGCUCUGAGACCCCGCCUCACUGGAGGUGCCUCCUCCCCCUGCGAUGUGGGUCCUAAGAGCCAGGGGGGGGAUGAGGGGCUGGCUCUCAGUGCCCGCCUCUCGGGGAGUGCCUCCCCUUCCUGCGAUGGGGGUCCUAAGAGCCAGGAGGGGAAGAGGGGCUGGCUUUCAGUCACCACAGCUUGGGGGGCCUUUAUGUUCUGGUUUUUCCCAAGAGUCAGCUGAUUUGCUUCUUGUACUAGCAGGGCAGUUGCUGCCAAGGCCCUCAAACAGGGGGGCCAUCCUUUAGAAACCCUGUCUAGCUGUUUAGAGAGGUAGGCCACCGGCCUCAGCCAUGGCCCCACAGUUUGGGUUUAAAGUCCAGCUGCCAUCUUUUCUCUGACGCAUACAGUGGAAAAGGCUUUGUGAGAUCCGCUAGCCCCUGGGCUGGGGCUUUCAGAAGUUUUUCCUUUAAGUCAUGAAAGACUUGCUGUUGUUGGAAUCCCCAUUCCAAAAGUUCCCGGUCCCCGCCCCCUUUGUGACGUCAUACAAAGGCGUGGCUAAUACUGCAAAGUUGGGCUCCGCAGUCUACAAAACCCCACAGCUCCUAGGAAUUCUCUCACCAGCCUUCUGCCCUUAGGCUCCGGAAGAUUGCAAAUGACCUGCUUUCUUUCGGAUCCCGGGCUGCUUUCGGACACCUGUCGAAUAGUAAAUCCCAAGUAAGCUACCUGCGGUCGUCGGCAGAUCUGAGUUUUCUUCUUGGACACCUAAUACCCACAGCCCUCCAGAGACCGAGAGGUUGAUGUCACUCCCAAUAUCGGAGGAAGUAUACAGCCCCGUGUGAGAUGUUCCUUAAUGAUAUUCCACGGCGGAGGGGGUGAUAUGACUACAUACAUGGCAGAAAGUGGAAACCCCCCAGGGAUAUUAUUCCCACGAUCCUGGAGGGAAGAAGAUGAUGUUACUUUCAAUAUGACAGAAGGUGGAUGAAGUGGUGGACUGCCCCUCCACACCUGUGGACACGCCCCCACUGAUACUCCUUCUAAUUGCAACGUGGGAGAGGAGGAUAUGACACGCGAUAUCGCAGGGAGCAGAAACACCCCUGUGAUACUGUUCUUCAUAUUCAGGGAGGAAGAGGAUGAUAUGACUCCCAAUACAGACGGGUGUACACCCUCUGUACACCGAGGGUGUACACCCGUCUGUGAAAGAGUUCGUAAUCUCCAGAGGGGGAGAUGAUAUUACUCACAAUAUGGUAAAGAGGCUGUGAGUCCACGGAGGAUCCUCAGAGCCAGCGGGGGAAGAGGGGCUGGCUCUGAGACCCCGCCUCGCUGGGGGUGCCUCCCCUCACUGCGAUGGGGGUCCUAAGAGCCAGUGGGGGAAGAGGGGCUGGCUCUGAGACCCCGCCUCGCUGGGGGUGCCUCCCCCCCCUGCGAUGGGGGUCCUAAGGGCCAGUGGGGGAAGAGGGGCUGCCUCUGAGACCCCGCCUCACGGGGGGUGCCUCCCCCCCCUGCGAUGGGGGUCCUAAGGGCCAGUGGGGGAAGGGGGGCUGGCUCUGAGAACCUGCCUCACGGGGGGUGCCUCCCCCCCCGUGAUGGGGUUCCUAAGGGCCAGUGGGGGAAGAGGGGCUGGCUCACUGUACCCGCCUUGCGGGGGGUGCCUCCCCCCCUGUGAUGGGGGUCCUAAGAGCCAGGAGCAGAAGAGGGGCUGGCUCUCUAUACCCGCCUCGCGGGGGGUGCCUCCCCCCCCCGUGAUGGGGUUCCUAAGAGCCAGAAGGCUUAGAGGGGCUGGCUCUCUGUACCCGCCUCGCGGGGGGUGCCUCCCUCCCCCCGUGAUGGGGGUCCUAAGAGCCAGAAGGCUUAGAGGGGCUGGCUCUCUGUACCCGCCUCGCGGGGGGUGCCUCCCUCCCCCCGUGAUGGGGGUCCUAAGAGCCAGAAGGCUUAGAGGGGCUGGCUCUCUGUACCCGCCUCGCGGGGGGUGCCUCCCCCCCCCGUGAUGGGGGUCCUAAGAGCCAGAAGGCUUAGAGGGGCUGGCUCUCAGUCUCCGCCUCGUGGGGGGUGCCUCCCCCCCUGCGAUGGGGGUCCUAAGGGCCAGUGGGGGAAGAGGGGCUGGCUCUGAGACCCCGCCUCACUGGAGGUGCCUCCUCCCCCUGCGAUGUGGGUCCUAAGAGCCAGGGGGGGGAUGAGGGGCUGGCUCUCAGUGCCCGCCUCUCGGGGAGUGCCUCCCCUUCCUGCGAUGGGGGUCCUAAGAGCCAGGAGGGGAAGAGGGGCUGGCUUUCAGUCACCACAGCUUGGGGGGCCUUUAUGUUCUGGUUUUUCCCAAGAGUCAGCUGAUUUGCUUCUUGUACUAGCAGGGCAGUUGCUGCCAAGGCCCUCAAACAGGGGGGCCAUCCUUUAGAAACCCUGUCUAGCUGUUUAGAGAGGUAGGCCACCGGCCUCAGCCAUGGCCCCACAGUUUGGGUUUAAAGUCCAGCUGCCAUCUUUUCUCUGACGCAUACAGUGGAAAAGGCUUUGUGAGAUCCGCUAGCCCCUGGGCUGGGGCUUUCAGAAGUUUUUCCUUUAAGUCAUGAAAGACUUGCUGUUGUUGGAAUCCCCAUUCCAAAUGUUCCCGGUCCCCGCCCCCUUUGUGACGUCAUACAAAGGCGUGGCUAAUACUGCAAAGUUGGGCUCCGCAGUCUACAAAACCCCACAGCUCCUAGGAAUUCUCUCACCAGCCUUCUGCCCUUAGGCUCCGGAAGAUUGCAAAUGACCUGCUUUCUUUCGGAUCCCGGGCUGCUUUCGGACACCUGUCGAAUAGUAAAUCCCAAGUAAGCUACCUGCGGUCGUCGGCAGAUCUGAGUUUUCUUCUUGGACACCUAAUACCCACAGCCCUCCAGAGACCGAGAGGUUGAUGUCACUCCCAAUAUCGGAGGAAGUAUACAGCCCCGUGUGAGAUGUUCCUUAAUGAUAUUCCACGGCGGAGGGGGUGAUAUGACUACAUACAUGGCAGAAAGUGGAAACCCCCCAGGGAUAUUAUUCCCACGAUCCUGGAGGGAAGAAGAUGAUGUUACUUUCAAUAUGACAGAAGGUGGAUGAAGUGGUGGACUGCCCCUCCACACCUGUGGACACGCCCCCACUGAUACUCCUUCUAAUUGCAACGUGGGAGAGGAGGAUAUGACACGCCAUAUCGCAGGGAGCAGAAACACCCCUGUGAUACUGUUCUUCAUAUUCAGGGAGGAAGAGGAUGAUAUGACUCCCAAUACAGACGGGUGUACACCCUCUGUACACCGAGGGUGUACACCCGUCUGUGAAAGAGUUCGUAAUCUCCAGAGGGGGAGAUGAUAUUACUCACAAUAUGGUAAAGAGGCUGUGAGUCCACGGAGGAUCCUCAGAGCCAGCGGGGGAAGAGGGGCUGGCUCUGAGACCCCGCCUCGCUGGGGGUGCCUCCCCCCCCUGCGAUGGGGGUCCUAAGGGCCAGUGGGGGAAGAGGGGCUGGCUCUGAGACCCCGCCUCGCUGGGGGUGCCUCCCCCCCCUGCGAUGGGGGUCCUAAGGGCCAGUGGGGGAAGAGGGGCUGGCUCUGAGAACCUGCCUCACGGGGGGUGCCUCCCCCCCCUGUGAUGGGGUUCCUAAGGGCCAGUGGGGGAAGAGGGGCUGGCUCUCUGUACCCGCCUUGCGGGGGGUGCCUCCCCCCCUGUGAUGGGGGUCCUAAGAGCCAGGAGCAGAAGAGGGGCUGGCUCUCUAUACCCGCCUCGCGGGGGGUGCCUCCCUCGCCCCGUGAUGGGGUUCCUAAGAGCCAGAAGGUUAGAGGGGCUGGCUCUCUGUACCCGCCUCGCGCGGGGUGCCUCCCCCCCCCGUGAUGGGGGUCCUAAGAGCCAGAAGGCUUAGAGGGGCUGGCUCUCAGUCUCCGCCUCGUGGGGGGUGCCUCCCCCCCUGCGAUGGGGUUCCUAAGGGCCAGUGGGGGAAGAGGGGCUGGCUCUGAUACCCCGCCUCACAGGGGGUGCCUCCGCCCCCCGGCGAUGGGGGUCCUUAAGGCCAGUGGGGGAUGGGGGGCUGGCUGUGAGACCCCGCCUCACGGGGGGUGCCUCCCCCCCGCUGCGAUGGGAGUCCUAAGAGCCAGUGGGGCAAGAGUGGCUGUCUCUCAGUCACCGCCUCGUGGGGCGUGCCUCCUCCCCCUGCGAUGCGGUUCCUAAGAGCCAGGGGGAGAAGAGAGGUUGGGUCUGAGUCCCCGCCUCACCGGGGGUGCCUCUCCCCCCUGCGAUGGGGUUCCUAAGAGCCAGGAUCAGAAGAGGGGCUGGCUCUCUGUGCCUGCCUCGCGGGGGGUGCCUCCGCCCCCUGUGAUGGGGGUCCUAAGAGCCAGAAGGCUUAGAGGGGCUGGCUCUGAGACCACGCCUCGCGAGGUGCCUCCCCACCUUGCGAUCGGGGUCCCAAGAGCCAGGGGGGAAGAGGGGCUGGCUCUCUUUGUGGAUGAUUCUUUUUCCAUUCUCAGGCAGUUUUCUUUUUUCUUUCUUUUCUUUUUUUUUGAGACUGAGUCUUGCUCUGUUGCCCAUGCUUUGCUGGAUCUCGGGUGACUGCAACCACUGCCUCCCAGGUUCAAGAGAUUCUCCUGCCUCAGCCUCCUGAGUAGCUGGGACUAGAGGCGUGUGUCACCACACCCAGCUAAUUUUUGUAUUUUUAGUAGAGAUGGGGUUUCACCAUGUUUGCCAGGAUGGUCUCUUUCUCCUGACCUUGUGAUCCACCCACCUCAGCCUCCCAAAGUGCUGGGAUUGCAGGUGCGAGCCACCGGGUCCACCCUCUCAGGCGAUUUUCAUACCUGCAUACUCUGAUCACUACUCUGUUAAACAGUCAACGAGGCUGAGUGCCACGUGCUGACAUCACUAAGAUCAAUACAGCAAACUCUGAAAGAUGGACAGAGAGACAGGAGAUGGUCCUUUAUAAUGCAGUGUGAUCUGUGCUGCAAUAGAGAUGGAAGAGUGUUCUGAUCGGCUGGAAAACAACGCACAUGGGAAGCUGUACAGAAAUGGGUGGGGAAAGUUUUGGAAGCUAGAAGUUCAAAAUGAGGUGUUGGCAGCACCAUGCUCUCUCUGAAGAUGCUAGGAAGAAUCUGCUCCAUGCCUUUCCAUUCGCUUCUGGGGUUUCCUGCAAGCCCUGACAUUCCUUGGCUUGUAGAUGCAUCACCCCAGUUUCCGCCCCCAUCAUCACAUGGCCUCCUCUCUGUGUGUGCCUCUGCGUUCCCUCUAUUCUUCUUCUAAGGACACCGACACCAGUCAUAGUGGAUUAAGGGUCCACUCCUAACUAAUUACAUCUGCAACAACCCUAUUUCCAAAUAAAGUCACAUUCUAAGA